rnacentral:ncRNA from 1 species
ACCGAUCGGCCGGGGUGCCCCGCGAGGGGCUGAGAUCACACCCGCCGAACCUGAUCCGGGUCAUGCCGGCGCAGGGAGACCGACGGAGGAGCUGA